GCUCUCUCUGUUCGUUUGCUCUCUUUGUUCGCCGUGUCCGCCGUUCGGUCUCCCUGACUCAACCGUGUUCGCUUCACGUUUGGUCUUCCUCGCCCGUGCUUCUCACUCUCCACCGUUCGGUCUCUCCAACUCUCAACCUCUCUCAGGUUUGUGAUUGUAGGUGGAGGCAAUGCUGCAGGUUACGCUGCUAACACUUUCGUCGAACAUGGAAUGGCUGAUGGUAGGCUCUGCAUUGUGACCAAAGAGGCUUAUGCACCUUAUGAGAGACCAGCUUUGACGAAAGGCUUACUUGUUUCCCCCGGAAAAGAAGUCUGCUCGUUUACCA